GACGAACGCUGGCGGCGUGCUUAACACAUGCAAGUCGAACGGAGUGGCGAACGGGUGAGUAAAACGUGGGUGACCUGCCCUGCACUUCGGGAUAAGCCUGGGAAACUGGGUCUAAUACCGGAUAGUGUGGGAUGGGCCCGGGGCCUAUCGGCUUGUUGGUGGGGUAAUGGCCUACCACGGCGGCGACGGGGAGCCGGCCUGAGAGGGUGGACAGCCACCAUGGUACUGAGUCACGGACCAGACUCCUACGUGAGGCAGCAGUGGGGAAUAUUGCACAAUGGGGGGAAGCCUGAUGAGGCGACGCCGCGUGGGGAAUGACGGCCUUCGGGUGGUAAACUCCUUUCACCAUCGACGCGGUAGAUGGAGAAGAAGCACCGGCUAACUACGUGCCAGCAGCCGCGGUAAUAC
rnacentral:rRNA from 1 species